UACGUAGGUGGCAAGCGUUGUCCGGAAUUAUUGGGCGUAAAGCGCGCGCAGGUGGUUUCUUAAGUCUGAUGUGAAAGCCCACGGCUCAACCGUGGAGGGUCAUUGGAAACUGGGGAACUUGAGUGCAGGAGAGAAGAGUGGAAUUCCACGUGUAGCGGUGAAAUGCGUAGAGAAUGUGGAGGAACACCAGUGGCGAAGGCGACUCUUUGGCCUGUAACUGACACUGAGGCGCGAAAGCGUGGGGAGCAAACAGGAUUGAG
rnacentral:rRNA from 1 species